AAAUAAUAUAUGUUUUAUAAUAACAAGUAUUUUCGUCCGUGUGAUGCACGAAAUGAAUUUGUUGUAAUAUAUUAAGAAUAUUUGGAUCGAUAUAUAAUUAUUU